UGGCUCAGUUGGUAGAGCAUGGUGUUUGCAACGCCAGGGCUGUGGUUUCGAUUCCCGC
rnacentral:tRNA from 1 species